rnacentral:rRNA from 1 species
AGCGGAUGAAGGGAGCUUGCUCCUGGAUUCUGCGGCGGACGGGUGAGUAAUGCCUAGGAAUCUGCCUGGUAGUGGGGGAUAACGUCCGGAAACGGGCGCUAAUACCGCAUACGUCCUGAGGGAGAAAGUGGGGGAUCUUCGGACCUCACGCUAUCAGAUGAGCCUAGGUCGGAUUAGCUAGUUGGUGGGGUAAAGGCCUACCAAGGCGACGAUCCGUAACUGGUCUGAGAGGAUGAUCAGUCACACUGGAACUGAGACACGGUCCAGACUCCUACGGGAGGCAGCAGUGGGGAAUAUUGGACAAUGGGCGAAAGCCUGAUCCAGCCAUGCCGCGUGUGUGAAGAAGGUCUUCGGAUUGUAAAGCACUUUAAGUUGGGAGGAAGGGCAGUAAGUUAAUACCUUGCUGUUUUGACGUUACCAACAGAAUAAGCACCGGCUAACUUCGUGCCAGCAGCCGCGGUAAUACGAAGGGUGCAAGCGUUAAUCGGAAUUACUGGGCGUAAAGCGCGCGUAGGUGGUUCAGCAAGUUGGAUGUGAAAUCCCCGGGCUCAACCUGGGAACUGCAUCCAAAACUACUGAGCUAGAGUACGGUAGAGGGUGGUGGAAUUUCCUGUGUAGCGGUGAAAUGCGUAGAUAUAGGAAGGAACACCAGUGGCGAAGGCGACCACCUGGACUGAUACUGACACUGAGGUGCGAAAGCGUGGGGAGCAAACAGGAUUAGAUACCCUGGUAGUCCACGCCGUAAACGAUGUCGACUAGCCGUUGGGAUCUUUGAGAUCUUAGUGGCCCAGCUAACGCGAUAAGUCG